rnacentral:rRNA from 1 species
GUUUACGGGGGGGUCGGCACUAUACCCUUUGUGAACAUACCUAUAACUGUUGCUUCGGCGGGUAGGGUCUCCGUGACCCUCCCGGCCUCCCGCCCCCGGGCGGGUCGGCGCCCGCCGGAGGAUAACCAAACUCUGAUUUAACGACGUUUCUUCUGAGUGGUACAAGCAAAUAAUCAAAACUUUUAACAACGGAUCUCUUGGUUCUGGCAUCGAUGAAGAACGCAGCGAAAUGCGAUAAGUAAUGUGAAUUGCAGAAUUCAGUGAAUCAUCGAAUCUUUGAACGCACAUUGCGCCCGCCAGCAUUCUGGCGGGCAUGCCUGUUCGAGCGUCAUUUCAACCCUCAAGCUCUGCUUGGUGUUGGGGCCCUACAGCUGAUGUAGGCCCUCAAAGGUAGUGGCGGACCCUCCCGGAGCCUCCUUUGCGUAGUAACUUUACGUCUCGCACUGGGAUCCGGAGGGACUCUUGCCGUAAAACCCCCAAUUUUCCAAAGGUUGACCUCGGAUCAGGUAGGAAUACCCGCUGAACUUAAGCAUAUCAAUAGCCGGGAGGAAA